rnacentral:rRNA from 1 species
UGGGGAAUAUUGGACAAUGGGCGCAAGCCUGAUCCAGCAAUGCCGCGUGGGUGAAGAAGGUCUUCGGAUCGUAAAGCCCUUUCGACAGGGACGAUGAUGACGGUACCUGUAGAAGAAGCCCCGGCUAACUUCGUGCCAGCAGCCGCGGUAAUACGAAGGGGGCUAGCGUUGCUCGGAAUUACUGGGCGUAAAGGGCGCGUAGGCGGCUUAGUCAGUCAGGCGUGAAAUUCCUGGGCUUAACCUGGGGUCUGCGUUUGAGACGGCUAUGCUAGAGGGUAGGAGAGGGUCGUGGAAUUCCCAGUGUAGAGGUGAAAUUCGUAGAUAUUGGGAAGAACACCGGUGGCGAAGGCGGCGACCUGGCCUAUUACUGACGCUGAGGCGCGACAGCGUGGGGAGCAAACAGG